rnacentral:lncRNA from 1 species
AUAAAAUAAUAUUAAAAUAUUAAUAUUUUAUUCAGUGUCAAAAUUUUAAGUUUUCGUAAACCCGAAUAGUUUAGAUCAUUGUGGACCUUGUUCCAAUGUCAAAAAAAUAAAAAGAUUGCACAAAAGAUGAGAGAAAAACAAGUUAACUUGUUAAAGAGCAUUUUUGUAAUUUUCAAGAGAAUUGGAUAAGCUUGGACUAUAAGCUUCUUGCUUCCAGCAGCUUCUCACAUCUUUUCCAGCAGCUUUUCUCCUUCUUCUUCUUCUCCUUUUCAUGUUGCUUCCAUCCUCCAUGGAAGCUUGAUAUCAAGCUUUAUAACCUCUCCCAAAUAGCUUAAAUUUUCAUAUUUCGGUGCACUCUUUUAUAGCAACUAUGUGCUCUUCCAUUCUCUCACUUCCAAACCCUUGAAAAAAAUUUUGUUUACAUGCUUUCUCUCACUAGCUAGGUGUUUAGAGAGAGAAAGGGAAAAAAAAAACCCUAUAAUAGCUUGAAAAUUGUUGAAAAGAAUUUCAAAUUUUCAAAACCAUCAAGGUGAGUAGUAAAUUAGCAUUGGGUUCUAAGUGUUGAUAAUGUUCAGUGAUUGAUUUGUGGAUUUAUUGUUGAGGUUGUGUAAUGACUUCAUUGUGACUAGGAUAGUAAGAAUAGAUAGCCAUUUAAAAUGACAAUUGAAAGCUAGCUAAGGGGUAGCUUUUAAGGUUUAUAAGUAUGAAUUGACAUUAUGGUGAUUUUAAUUUGAUAGUAUAUUCCAACAAAGCCCAUUAUCCCAAUUGGACCAUUAGGAGAGUUAGGAUCGGUUAAAGACUCAAAUAAUAUCGGUGAGUGAACUUGCAUUUCAAAAAUCAUUUUGGGAGACAUCAUUGUAUUGGUAUGAAACAUUGAAUGAUUUAUUCCAACUUGUCUUUAAAAACGUGUCUUGGAAACAAGCCUUUGACAAAAUAUUUUGAUGUUGUGAAAGUGUGAAAUGUGUAAAAAAAUGAACCUAUGUGCUCCUAUACUGUGUUAAUAUAUUUAUAUGUGUGUGUAUGAAUAAUCUUGUGUGAUGAUGAUGACCCGAUUAUGUGCGAGUAGAGAGUGCGCAUAGACCGAUGAUGAUGAUGACUCGACUAUGUGCGAGUAGGAAGUGCGCAUAGGCCGAUGAUGAUGAUGACCCGACUAUAUGCGAAUAGAGAGUGCGCAUAAACGGAUGAUCAUGAUGAUCCGGCUAUAAUCAUGAAUGAAUUGAGAUGAUGUAUUUGUUGAUAUAUGUUUAUAUAUGUAUAUGUGAUAACAAGUUUAUGAUUAUAAGAUGUGAUUGUUUUAAAUGUCGAUAACUUGAUUAUUGCCGAUGUGUUCACUUUGAUGUGCAAUAUGGUAGGGAUGGAUUUUGUGGCAUGUGAAAAUCCCUUAUUUGUCAUUUGCCCCGAAUCUCGCUGCAGCGAAAAUAAAUCUCGUCGCAGCGAGAAACUCUCGGGUUUUGGUGCAAUGCUUUCACUUUGAUGAAGAUUUUGACCAUCUUCCCUUCCAAACUGGAAAAAAUGGUAAAACAUCAAAAUUGUAACCUUACCUCUUAGCUUUCUAAUGACCUAACAAGCAUGUCAAUUGGACCCAUGUAGUGGAAGAUAUGCUUGAAAAAUCGAACCAUAUGCAAAUCGAGAAUGCCUUUUUUUACAGUGAGAAACGUGCUGUCACGUUGAUACCUUGCUCGAGUUCUGAUAUAAUUUCCUCCACCCCCUUAUCUUCAUGAUUGAGCAUGAGUCUUUGCAAUACUAAGAGUCCACUGAUCAAUGACCAAAACAAGGAGGUUUGGGAAAGAAAUUAUACCAAAUUGCAUUGUUUUCAAAACAAGUGCAUCACGAUUUUCAAAUUCUUUCUUAUCAAUUGCUUUUUCCCUUUUUUGUUCACUCACUGGGUUUAUACUCAUCGUUUUCAACUUCAUAUUUUCAUAUCACAAGAUAACUGGUAGCUUGGUCGAGGUGUCUUUGUACAUUCGACCUUUGGUAGGUGUCUCGACAUUCAAUAGCUGUAUAUUCGUCCGAGUCUCUCCGUUGAAAAUCGAAUACUCUAUUUGUUGUGUAUAGGUAAACCCAAUGUAAAUUAUUAAGCUAUAUGUUCAGACAAUGUAUGUAUAUUUCAAUGAGUAAGCCACUAAGAAAUGACAAUGUCUAUCACUAUUUUAAUUCAAAGUUAUGAAAUGUAACUUAACAAUAUUGAUGAAAAAAUGAGCAAGAUAAUAGAUAGGCUUGCUUGGGCUUAAUGAACUAUAUUUAUUGGGCCAUUGCGUCGGUCAUGACCCGAGAUUUAUGUCGUGACAGAGUUGGUAUCAGAGCCCUAAGUUGUUUAGGUCUUAAGACUUUCCUUUUGUUGAUCUAGCAGAGAGUCGGGUCGUUAUGUGAAAACUUCAAUUGUGAAGUGUGAACCACGACACAUUUUACGACUAAGGAACCGCAUAAAUUUUUUAUCUUAGAAAUCACCUUUUUGCUUGAGUAUGAUUAUAAAAUAUAUUCAAUAACAAAUGGUUGCUCUUGUCUAGGUAAGAAUAUCACCUAAGACGAGCUAUCUCGAGAUGGAUAAGGGAACAAGAUACCCUUAAUGGGAUGACAGAUAGGCCACAGGCAACCACCCUAAGGGGCUGGGGUAGACAUGGCAGAGCCACUAAGCUAGUGAAAGCGAAUACUCCUGUGAGUAGACGAGAGGAAGAACAAUCCUCGAGCGAUGUGGAUAGACAGCCCACUGGGGUCAUUACCAUCGAGGACUUGGCAGCAGGCCUGUAGGGAGUUAAUCAGGUUGUAGAGAUGAUGACAACCCGUAUGGACGAUAUACAAAAGGUGGUAGAGAGGAGACCUACAGUACAAGAAUCCCCCAGCUCCCAAGGACAGGCUGAUCGCCAACAUCACGAGGUCGAAAGGGGACCUUAAAAAUUUCUUUAUAAUUUUCUUAAGCUUAAGCCUCCAUCAUUUUCAGGGUCUAAUGCCUCAGAGAAACCUCAUAUCUUAGAUAAAAUGAAAAAAAUAUGUAAAGCUUUAGGAUGAUCUAGUGUUCAAUCAGUCGAGCUAGUUGCCUUCCAACUAGAGGAUGUGGCGCAGGAGUGGUAUAGCUCCUUAUGUAGAGGUAGACCGACAGAUGCAGAACCGUUAACUUGGAGUGAGUUCAGUAUAGCCUUUUUGGAUCGAUUUCUAUCAUUCAGUGUACGUAAUGCUAAAGCUAGGGAGUUUGAGGCUUUGGUACAAACCUCAAGUAUGACAAUAUCGGAGUACGACAUCAAAUUCACGCAACUGGCACGGUAUGCUCCCUAUCUCGUUUCUACAGAGGAAAUGAAGAUUCAGAGAUUUGUGGAUGGGUUAGUGAAACCGUUGUUUAGGGCUGUGGCUUCCCGAGACUUUAAUACCUAUUCCGCAGCAGUGGAUUGUGCUCAACGGAUUGAGAUGAGGACUGGUGAGAGUAAGACUGCGAGAGAUAGAGCAAAAAUGGUCAAGACAGAGGGUUAUCAAGGCUGUAGAGAUUUCAGUAGUGAGAUGUCAUCUUUUAGUCAUUAGAGCCCACAGAGGGAAUCACAGUUAUCCCAACAGGGGAGUGAUGUGGCUAGUGCCAACGUUGGAUCAAGGCAGAAAACCUUUGAUGAGGGAAGGCAACAGGAUUCAAGGCAGAGUAGUCAAGUUAUCAACCCUUGCAGUGCUUGUGGGGUACGACAUAAAGGACGGUGUUUUCUCACAAGAGUUUGUUUCGGGUGCAAUCAACCUGGACAUAUUAGGAGAAAUUAUCCGAGGACUCAUCAAUCUCAAGGUUCUGCUCGCGGCUCCACCCAACUGGCUUUACUUGCUCCUUCAGUAACUGCCUCGUCUGACCGGGAGGUUAGCAGAUCAAGAGGUAGAUGUGCUACUACUUCUUUUCAAGACAGGCCUUCUGGAUUUGAACGUCAGAGUGCCGCCGAUAGGGGACAAACGAGGGUGUUUGCUUUAACACCGCAGGAGGCCCAAACAUCCAAUGCGGUGGCCUCAGGUACUCUUUUCGUUUGCAAUAUGAAUGCUCGAGUAUUGUUUAAUCUUGGUGCUACCCAUUCUUUUCUCUACGUGUUUUGCAUCUUGUUUGGGCAAAAAUCAUGCUAGGAGAGAGGAACAAUUAAUAGUGUCUACUCCUUUAAAGGAAGUAAUUAUGGUUGAAUGAGAAUAUGAGUCCUGUGUAGUUCGAGUCAAGGACAAAGACACUUUGAUAAAUCUAGUAGUGUUAAACACCUUAGAUUUUGACGUAAUUUUGAAAAUGGAUUGGCUGGCACCCUACCAUGCCAACGUGAAUUGUUAUCAUAAUUUGGUGAAAUUUGAUUUUCAGGUGAGCCUUCAUUUAGUAUUCAGGGGGAUAGGAGUAAUGCUCCAACUAAUUUGAUAUCGAUCCUCUUUACUAGAAAGUUAUUAAGACAGGGUUGUUUGGAAUGCUCAGGCGAAGGUGAGAGAUAUAAGCCAAGUGUUGGUGGUGAUUGAGUUCAUGGAUAUAUUUCUUGAGGAACUACCAAGUUUGCCUCCCAAGCGGGAGAUUGAAUUUUGCAUAGAUUUGAUUCCUGACACUCGACUUAUAUCCAUACCAUCAUAUAGAAUGACACCUGCAAAGCUUAAAGAGCUUAAGGAUCAGUUGAAAAAUUUGUUGGAUAAAGGUUUCAUCUAACCUAGCGUCUCGCCGUGGAGAGAUCAUAUCUUUUUUAAGGUCUCACCAACGAAAAGUAUAAUGAGGUUUGGCAAGAAAGGAAAGUUGAGCCCUCGAUAUAUAAGACCCUUCGAGAUCUUAGAAAGAGUUGAAACAAUGGCAUAUCGUUUGGCAUUACCACCAUACCUUUUGAAUAUUCACCUCAUGUUUCAUGUGUCAAUGUUUAAGUACAACCCGGAUCUGUCACAUGUAAUACGAUAUGAAACCAUUCAGUUGAACGAUGAUCUGACCUAUGAGGAGCAACAAGUAGCUAUCCUUGAUCGGCAAGUCAAGAAGCUCCAUUCGAAAGAUAUAGCCUUGGUAAAGGUGUUAUGGCAAAAUUAGACCAGCGAGGAGGUGACAUGGGAAGUCGAGGAGGAAAUGUGAAUAAAGUAUCCCCAUCUCUUUGAUACUUAGAGGUACGCUACCUUAUAGUUGAAUUUAAAUUCGGGGACCGAUUUCUUUAAGUAGGGGAGAAUGUGAGACCUCAACUCCUAUAGGCUCAUAACUAUGCAAAGACACAACAACACGGAUCAGGGAUAGUUUCGUUAUUUUCUCUAAAAAGUUCCCAAAAAAAGAUUUUAUGAUAUUUUAAGGUCUAAAUAGGCAUAAUAAGAUAUUUUGAGUGCCAAGGAGACAAGAGGAGGCAAGAGGAAUUUUUUGAAAUAAAAUAAUAUUAAAAUAUUAAUAUUUUAUUCAGUGUCAAAAUUUUAAGUUUUCGUACACCCUAAUUUAGAUCAUUGUGGACCUUGUUCCACUGUCAAAAGAAUAAAAAGAUUGCACAAAAGAUGAAAAAAAAACAAGUUAUCUUGCUAAAGGGUAUUUUUGUAAUUUUUAAGAGAAUUGAAUAAGCUUGGACUCUAAGCUUCUUGCUUCCAGCAGCUUCUCACGUCUUUUCUAGUUCUUCUUCUUCUCCUUUUCAUGUUGCUUCCAUCCUCCAUGGAAGCUUGAUAUCAAGCUUUAUAGCCUCUCCCAAAAUAGUUUAAAUUUUCAUGUUUCGUUGCACCCUUUUAUGAAAGCUAUGUGCUCUUCUAUUCUCUCACUUCCAAACCCUUGAAAAAAAUUGUUUCCAAGGUGUUUAGAGAGAGAAAGAAAGGAGAAAAAAAAGGCUUAUAAUAGCUUGAGAAUUGUUGAAAAGAAUUUCAAAGUUUCAAAACCAUCAAGGUGAGUAGUAAAUUAACAUUGGGUCCUAAGUAUUGAUAAUGUUCAGUGAUUGAUUUGUGGAUUUAUUGUUGAGAUUGUGUAUUGACUU